rnacentral:rRNA from 1 species
UGGGGAAUCUUCCGCAAUGGGCGAAAGCCUGACGGAGCAACGCCGCGUGAGUGAUGAAGGUCUUCGGAUCGUAAAACUCUGUUAUUAGGGAAGAACAAAUGUGUAAGUAACUAUGCACGUCUUGACGGUACCUAAUCAGAAAGCCACGGCUAACUACGUGCCAGCAGCCGCGGUAAUACGUAGGUGGCAAGCGUUAUCCGGAAUUAUUGGGCGUAAAGCGCGCGUAGGCGGUUUUUUAAGUCUGAUGUGAAAGCCCACGGCUCAACCGUGGAGGGUCAUUGGAAACUGGAAAACUUGAGUGCAGAAGAGGAAAGUGGAAUUCCAUGUGUAGCGGUGAAAUGCGCAGAGAUAUGGAGGAACACCAGUGGCGAAGGCGACUUUCUGGUCUGUAACUGACGCUGAUGUGCGAAAGCGUGGGGAUCAAACAGG